ensembl:lncRNA
AUGGGGACAUCUCCCAGGGCUGACAGGGCACCCAGGCUGGUCGUGCCUCACAGGGCUGCGCCUGCCCAGGCGGGUUUCUGUAAGGGCGCAUGUAAGCCUGUUGCUGCUGGAUUUACAAACGCUGAGACUGGAGCUGGUAAAAGUAAGAAGCAACAGGGCCAGAUGGGCCUGAUGGCCGCCGGCCGGGUGGCGAGGAGGAUGAUGUGGACAGGAUGUGAGGGUCGCAGACACCGGGUUCUGGGUGGCCGACCAUCUUGGAGGACCAGAGGUGGGAGGAAUGGACAAGCCCAGAAGGGGACACCUUGGAUGAUCGAGGCAUGGGUCACGUGUCUGAGGCGGGCAGAGGGGCGGUGACAAGAGCAGGGAGCGCCGGUGCAGCUUUGAGUGAUGGACAUUGACCCAAACGUGGGGCUCCUGGCGGUUGGUCAGCAUAUGUGUCUGCUGCUGCUGCUGCUGCUGCUGGUCAGCGCGAUGUGCAGAGGUUCAUUUCACACUCCUCCCAGCACCAGGAGGUCAGUUCUCUUGCUGGUCCCAGUUUGUAGACGAGAACGCUGAGGCUCAAAAGACCACGUGGUGUGCCCAGACUCACAGCUCUCACGAUGGGUCUAGGCUGGAACUCGGAGCCUGGGGUCAAGGGCUGCAGUGCCUUGUCACAUUUCAGGGGUCCUACUGCCCAGCCUGGGGGCCCAACUGGAGGUGAUGAAAUAGUUCAGAUCUUGAGGGAGGUACCGGCUAAGCAGAGUCCAUGGAAGGCAAAGGUCAUCAGUGAUUAGAAGAUCCUGGGGACUUCCUGGAGGAAGUGAGAGGAACUAACUUAAGGCAUUAAAGGAAGUUGGUUAAGGAUGGAAGCAAAGCAAGUGCUGCAUCUCCUCCAUCCUCUCCAACUGUGUUAUUCAGAACUUUCCUGCAACUGACAGGACUCAAUCCAAACUGGUUCAGCAUGCAAGGGAAUUUACUGGUUUGAGUAAUUGAAAAUCCCAAAGAAGUUGGGCUUCAGGCCGGCUGGAUCUAGGUGCUCAGUGAUAUCCCCAGGAUCUCACUUCCUCGCUCAGUCUUCCUCCUGGGAAGGCAUCAUUCUCAUGUGGGUCCUCUCCACAAGGGUAGUAGGCUCAGUCUCUAGCAGCAGAAGGUUCUCAUCCUGUCCAUUGAAGAACCCCAGCCGAAAGAGCAUCUCACUGGCCUGCCUUGGGUCACAUGGCCGCCGCCCGGGUGGCGAGGAGGAUGAUGUGGACAGGAUGUGAGGGUCGCAGACACCGGGUUCUGGGUGGCCGACCAUCUUGGGGGUCCUGGGUGGGCCACCUGCCAAGAGGACCAGAGGUGGGAGGAAUGGACAAGCCCAGAAGGGGACACCUUGGAUGAUCGAGGCAUGGGUCACGUGUCUGAGGCGGGCAGAGGGGCGGUGACAAGAGCAGGGAGCGCCGGUGCAGCUUUGAGUGAUGGACAUUGACCCAAACGGGGCUCCUGGCCGGUUGGUCAGCAUGUGUCUGCUGCUGCUGCUGCUGCUGCUGGUCAGCGAUGUGCAGAGGGUUCAUUUCACUCCUCCCAGCACCAGGAGGUCAGUUCUCUUGCUGGUCCCAGUUUGUAGACGAGAACGCUGAGGCUCAAAAGACCACGUGGUGUGCCCAGACUCACAGCUCUCACGAUGGGUCUAGGCUGGAACUCGGAGCCUGGGGUCAAGGGCUGCAGUGCCCUUGUCACAUUUCCAGGGGUCCUACUGCCCAGCCUGGGGCCCAACUGGAGGUGAUGAAAUAGUUCAGAUCUUGAGGGAGGUACCGGCUAAGCAGAGUCCAUGGAAGGCAAAGGUCAUCAGUGAUUAGAAGAUCCUGGGGACUUCCUGGAGGAAGUGAGAGGAACUAACUUAAGGCAUUAAAGGAAGUUGGUUAAGGAUGGAAGCAAAGCAGAAGUGCUGCAUCUCCUCCAUCCUCUCCAACUGUGUUAUUCAGAACUUUCCUGCAACUGACAGGACUCAAUCCAAACUGGUUCAGCAUGCAAGGGAAUUUACUGGUUUGAGUAAUUGAAAAUCCCAAAGAAGUUGGGCUUCAGGCCCGGCUGGAUCUAGGUGCUCAGUGAUAUCCCCAGGAUCUCACUUCCUCGCUCAGUCUUCCUCCUGGGGAAGGCAUCAUUCUCAUGUGGGUCCUCUCCACAAGGGUAGUAGGCUCAGUCUCUAGCAGCAGAAGGUUCUCAUCCUGUCCAUUGAAGAACCCCAGCCGAAAGAGCAUCUCACUGGCCUGCCUUGGGUCACAUGUCCACCCCUGAGCCAAGGAUUGGCUAAGCUGAUGGAAAAUGCUGAUCGCCCAGGUUGGAUCACAUGCCCUCCCCAGACGCCUUGGGCGAGGUCAGCCCCUGGCCACAAGAGGCAGGCAUGGCAGGGCAGGCUCCCAAAGGAAGGUGGAGUUUGGUGUGGGAAGGAAGAAGAUGAAUCACUGGGUAGGCAGAUUCAGCAGAAUUUGAAAAUCAUUUUAGGCGUGGACCAGACCACGUGGGAUCAAGUGUCUCUGGGUUACAUAUCUACAGACUUAUUUGAGCAGCCAUUAUGUAGGGCCAAGCCUAGUUGCUGAAGCUUCAGUACUCUGGCUGCCUGAUGCAAAGAGUGGACUCAUUGGAAAAGACCUUGAUGGUGGGAAAGAUUGAGGGCAAGAGGAGAAGGGAAGACAGAAGGUGAGAUGGUUAGAUAGCAUCACUGACUCAAUGGACAUGAAUCAGAGCAAACUCUAGGAGAUAGUGGAGGACAGAGAAGCCUGGCUUGCUGCGGUCCACAGGGUCGUAAGAGUUAGACAGACAACUUAGCACCUGAACGACAGCAACAAGCCUGGAGGCCGGAGAAAACAGAGACGAAUCAGGUCUGGUCCUUCUUCCCAAAGAGCCUGGAGUUAGACUCUCCCAAGCCUUGUGCCCAAGCAGAGGGCAUCCAUCACACGCUGUGUUUCCUCCGCCAAUAUCUUCAGGGGUGGGGAGGAAGAAGUGAAAAUGAUCAGGAGGAAUCAGGGGCGGACAGACCUCCUGCUGUCGAGGCAGAGACAAGAGGGCAGCCCUUGGGGACUGUGUGUAUUGGGAGAGAGGAGCUGGGGCCAUACUAGCCACGCUGUGAGGGUGGGGUUGGGCACCUGUGCUUGGCAGGUGCCAAAUGUAAUAGCGAGUGUUCGGUCAGCUUGCACGCAUGGUAGCUUCAGUCGUGUCGACUCUUUGCGACACUAUGGACUGUAGCCCGCCAGGCCCCUCUGUCCAUGGAAUUCUCCAGGCAGGAAUACUGGAGCAGGUUGCCAGAUUUUCCCCACAUCUCCUGUGGCUCCUGCACUGCAGGUGGAUUCUUUACUGCUGAGUCGCCACAGAAACCUUUCGGUCAGCUUGGCUGUUGUAAAACUACAAUCGACAGGGCAGCUUACACAAUUGACAUCUGUUUUUGUGUUUCUCAUUUAUUUCUGGAGGUUGGGGAGGCCAAGAUCAAGGUGUCAGCCAAGGGGACUUGCUGGGGUCCAGUGGUUAAG